rnacentral:rRNA from 1 species
UGCGCAGGCGGGCUUGUAAGUCAGUGGUGAAAUACUGCCGCUUAACGGUGGAACUGCCAUUGAUACUGCAAGUCUUGAAUAUGGUUGAGGUAGGCGGAAUGUGUCGUGUAGCGGUGAAAUGCAUAGAUAUGACACAGAACGCCAAUUGCGAAGGCAGCUUACUAAGCCAUUAUUGACGCUGAGGCACGAAAGCGUGGGGAGCGAACAGGAUUAGAUACCCUGGUAGUCC